rnacentral:rRNA from 1 species
UACGUAGGGUGCAAGCGUUGUCCGGAAUUAUUGGGCGUAAAGAGCUCGUAGGCGGUCUGUUGCGUCGGCUGUGAAAACCCGGGGCUCAACUCCGGGCCUGCAGCCGAUACGGGCAGACUAGAGUUCGGCAGGGGAGACUGGAAUUCCUGGUGUAGCGGUGAAAUGCGCAGAUAUCAGGAGGAACACCCGUGGCGAAAGCGGCUCUCUGGGACGGUACUGACGCUGAGACGCGAAAGCGUGGGGAGCAAACAGG